GGACACUUCAACAUUCCCUCUGCUAUCCAAAUCUUUGCUCCAAGCACAUACCCUGUGAAGAUUUCUUAGGCAACAUAAUUGAAAAUGGUAAUUAUCAAUUGCCAUUUUUUUUUAUCAACUUUCCUGCUUUUUUUUUUCUCCAUAGCAUUUCCCACCUUCUGAAUCACUAUGUAAUUUUUCUGUUUAUUCUGCAUUUUCUCCACUUCCCCCACCAGAAUGCAAACUCAAAGCAGAAAUUUUGGUCUGUUUUGCUCAGGAAUUUUGUCUGCAUCUCUGCCUAGAAUAGUCCUUGGCACACCGCCACUCCCCAAGUAUUCUCAGAAGGAAACAGAGUUCGUGGACUCUCUGCUGACUCUCUGCUCUUCUGAAGUCCAACAGAGCUCUGGCUGCCAAAGCCACCCACUCCAGUGUCGGCCUCUGAUGUGAACCAGGGGUACAGAUUGGACUGGAGGACACUCCUCCCUUUCAGUAAGUGUUUUUCUUGCUGGCACUUUCUGAGACCUGCCUCUGUCUCUUCUCCACCCCACACAUGCUCUUGACUCUUCACUUCCUCCUUGAAGCUGGUGGAUCUCAGGGGCUUGCCCUUGAACUAUUUCAGAGUCUGAAGAUUACACAAAUCACCACAAAUGGGGUGUAUGGCUGCCCCCUGCCAACCACUGUCCAUGUUCUUCUUCUUGUGUCAGCCUUUCUAGAGGAGAAGGGGCAGUAGUGGGCCAGCAAAGCCUCUGCCACAGGACUGCACCUCUGUGCUUUGGAGGCCUUCCUUGAAUUUUCUAAGCCCUUCUCACAGCCUGGGACUUGUCAGGACUGGCCAUGUUCUCCAGGAAGGAGACUCCUGGCUCAGAAGACCCAGACCACAAUGACCUCUGUCUUCCUCUGUCAAGAUGCUUCUGACCCUGAACAUUGUGUCAAUCAGAUAUCCCCGCCAGCUCUGGGACUCAAACCAUGGAAUCUCCUCAGAGGCUGGUGGUUGGGCUUUCAUUUAAGGUGAGCAGUCGGGCAACUAGGUUAUUCCUGCUGGCACCACGGUGCAGUGUGGGACCUCCUGAGACCGAGCAGAUGGCGCUGACAUACUGAUUUGGGGGUAACUUCAACUUGAACACAAGAUGGCUUCAGGACUCGGUUACCAACAGUUCACCACUAAGCCUUGGUUCAAAUCACCAGUGUGGGCCUGUGUCCAUCUGUGUCUCUAUUGUGGGUGGCAUCACUGCCUGUCUUCAACACUUGAUGGUGGCGGGUAUGUGCCAUCACACCCUGCAGCCACUGGCACUCAAGCCACCCCUACUGUAGGCUCUGAACCAGGCCAGACAGUCCUCUGAAGAUGGCUUCAAGACUGAGCACUGUCCUUCCAGUCAAGGUCUCUCUUGCUUCCCACGGGUGGGAACUGCUCAUUCUCCCUUCACGUAUGGACCCCUUGCCUUCCAUCCUUGCUAUUGGAGGGGUUUCGUCACCUCUGAAAGAGCUCCCAUUCUAGGACUGCAGUGACGACCACAUCAAGAGCCCAAGAGGACACGUGGCUGGAAAACGGGUUGCUCUGUGUUCACGCUGUGGCAUUUUGGAUGGUGAGCUUAACGGGACCAGAAAGCAAACAUGGGCUCACAUGUUCCUGCACACCCUUGGGAAGACUUGCAUCAAUGAAGCACAAUAGUGACCUCUGAGAGAGUCACUGGGGACAGUGUGGAUGGAUGAUGUGGUGACAUGAGUAACAAUGUAACCAGCGUCACAGAGGCACUGUUAGGGAACUGCAGAAGCAACUGCAGAACCGUGAGCAGGUUCUGCAGAGCCAGGACCCUGUGAUUAAUUACAGCCCGGCUACUGUUUUCUCCUAAGGGAAAUACAACCAGGAGCGGUGCCCCCGACAACUGAGCGCACAGAGGCGGGUCUAGAUUCAGACAGAACGUGAGGGGGCUUGGAGCCCAAAAGAAUCCUCACAUGGACCCAUGGGAUGAUGCACACUGGGAAAGCCACUCUUCAUUAAUACGCCACUAGACCUCACAGGAGUCCGUGUUUUAAGAUGUAUUUUAAAAUCGAAUUAUUUAUAUAGACAAGGUCCCUGCACUGCAAAACAACAACAACAAACAACAAACCCACCACCACCACAACAGGAAACUUCCCCCAGGGGUCCUGCACACUCUUGGAGCAGCUCUGAGAAGGAAGCAAUGGGGCCUCUGCAGGCAGACCCACUGGGUCUUUUCUUCUGGUUGCAGAAUGAUUUGUUUCCAUUUCAAAGCAGCUCACUGGCUGCAAGAUAGUUUUAAAUUGAUAACUCUGACAGAUUGGGACAGGCAAAUUCUAAUGUCACACUAUUAAGAUUCCUGGAAGUCUUUCUGAUGGUGUUUAUUAAAAAUUGAAAGGAGGCAAGGCAUUUUUUAUGUUAUAUCAUGACAGGUUAAAGCACAUUUUUAAUGUGUGUUCUCCCCUCAGAGGGAAUUAGAUCUUUAGCCACGCCGGGGGACUUUCUAAACCUGAGGACUUCUAAAUGUCUCUUCUGGCAGUAGUGCCUUUGGUCCUGAGAUUUUAAAAAAAUUAGCCAGAACUAGAUACUGUGUCAAAAGCCUGUAAUCUCAGAGACUCAGGAGGCUAAGGCAACUUGGAUCCCAAGUUCAAAGCCAGCCUUGACAACUUAGUGACAGCCUGUCUCAAAAUAAAAAAUAAAAAAGGCUGGGGAUGCAGCUCAGGCGUAGAAUGCCCCUGGGUUCAAUCUCCAGUAAAAUAAAUAAAUACAUAAUAAAUAAUCAGCCAGAAAAAGAUACUGCAAGAACUGCUACCAGAUUAGUUCUGUUAUUCCACUGGGAUUAAUGUCUUCUUUUGAUUCCCCAGCUCAUUAGCUUGGAGAAGAUCUAGAGAGCCAUCAGUCCUCAACCUCCUCAUGGGUCUUUUAUUUGUGGGACAGAGUUGGCCCAUUGUUCAUAAUACUGUUUCUAGUAUCCUGAGCUUGUGCUCAACUAUACCAACCGCUAAGCCCUCUCGAGUGUUUAUAUGUGCCAGCCACCGUUCUAAUAGGUAUCACAAGUUAUACCUAUUAAAUCUCAUGGGUCCGUGAAUUAAAUGCUAUCCCUCUUCUCAUUUCAUGAUAAAAUGCCUAACCAAAAAGCUAAGGUUUCGUGACUCGAGAGUGAUGGAGAUCCCGGGCAGUUUUUUCAUUGAGCUGACUUUCAUAGCCACUUUGCCAUCCUGACUCUCAAGGACGUGAUAACUUAACUCUUGGUUUCCCAUAUUAUAGACACCCUGGAAAUACUUGUUCUUGCUGUCCCCUGCUCUUGAAGGAAGGUAUCCUGUGUAAGAGCGAUUCUCAUCAUUCAAUGUUUAACACAAUGCUACCAAUCCUCACCCGCCUGGGACCACCCAGAGGGCUCAUGGACAUCAGUGAUGUCCAUUCUUGUUCCUGAUGCACCUGCUGACAUGGGACCUCCAAGCCCCCUGCAAAGACCCCCAUGAGAAUUCCCACCUAAUCCCAAGGAGCCUCGGAUGUGCUCCUCACCAC
rnacentral:lncRNA from 1 species